rnacentral:rRNA from 1 species
CUAAGCCAUGCGAGUCAUUGUAGCAAUACAAGGCAGACGGCUCACUCACGCGUAGUCAACCUAACCUAUGGACGGGAAUAACCUCGGGAAACUGAGAAUAAUGCCCGAUAGAACACUAUAUCUGGAAUGGUUUGUGUUCCAAAUGAUUUAUCGCCGUAGGAUGGGACUGCGGCCUAUCAGUUUGUUGGUGAGGUAAUGGCCCACCAAGACUAUUACAGGUACGGGCUCUGAGAGGAGUAGCCCGGAGAUGGGUACUGAGACACGGACCCAGGCCCUAUGGGGCGCAGCAGGCGAGAAAACUUUGCAAUGUGCGAAAGCACGACAAGGUUAAUCCGAGUGGUUUGUGCUAAACGAACCUUUUGUCGGUCCUAGAAACACCGAUGAAUAAGGGGUGGGCAAGUUCUGGUGUCAGCCGCCGCGGUAAAACCAGCACCUCAAGUGGUCAGGAUGAUUAUUGGGCCUAAAGCAUCCGUAGCCGGCUCUGUAAGUUUUCGGUUAAAUCUGUACGCUUAACGUACAGGCUGCCGGGAAUACUGCAGAGCUAGGGAGUGGGAGAGGUAGACGGUACUCGGUAGGAAGGGGUAAAAUCCUUUGAUCUAUUGAUGACCACCUGUGG